AUGGCCAUGGACAAUGCUACAGCAGUAUUUGAGUUUCUUCUUAUUGGAAUCUCUAACUAUCCUGAAUGGAGAGUCACAUUUUUCACAUUGGUACCGAUAACUUACCUCAGAACGUUAUUGGGGAAUGGACUUAUCAUCUUUCUUAUCCACACUGACCCCCACCUCCACACUCCAAUGUACUUCUUCCUUAGUAAUCUGUCUUUCUUAGACCUUUGCUAUGGAACAGUCUCCAUGCCCCAGGCCUUGGUGCAUUGUUUCUCUACCCAUCCCUACCUCUCUUACCCACGAUUGUUUGACCCAAAUAAGUGUCUCCUUGGUCUUGGCCACAGCAGAGUGCCUCCUGUUGGCUGUCAUGGCCUAUGAUUGUGUGGUUGCUAUCAGCAAUCCCCUACGCUAUUCUGUGGUCAUGAAUGGCUCAGUGUGUGUUUGGCUGGCUGCUACCUCAUGGGGGGCAUCACUUGUGCUCACUGCCAUGCUCAUCUUAUCCCUGCAACUUCAUUUCUGUGGGGCUAAUGUUAUCAACCAUUUUGUCUGUGAAAUUCCCUCCCUUCUUAAGCUGGCUUGUUCUGAUACCAGCCUCAAUAAGCUUAUGAUCACCACAAGUAUUUUCCCUGCUCCUACCCUUUGGGUUGUUUCUCCUCUCCUAUGUCCGAAUUGCCACUGCUGUUCUAAGGAUUCGUUCAGGCCUUUUCUACCUGUGGUUCUCAUUUGACUGUGGUGGCAAUCUUCUAUGGGGCAGCCAUUUCCAUGUAUUAUGAAACCACAGUCCAAGUCAUCCCCUGACAAGGACAAGUUUACCUCAGUGUUUUAUGGGGCUUUGACACCCAUGCUGAAACCCCUAAUAUAUAGCCUGAGGAAUAAGGAUGUUAAAGGGGCAAUGAGGAAAGUUAUGGCAAAAAGGGCAUAA